GACGAACGCUGGCGGCGUGCCUAACACAUGCAAGUCGAGCGAAUGAAGUUCCUUCGUGAACGGAGUUAGCGUCGGACGGGUGAGUAACACAUGGGCAACCUGCCUCAUAGAGGUUAAGAGCCUUCCAAAAGAGAGAGUAAUACACCAGAAGAGUGUAGUACCUGAUGGUACAGCAAUGAAAGGAGCAAUCGGCUAUGAGAUGGCUCCGCGGCUCAUUAGCUAUUUGGUGAGGUGACGGCUAACCAAGGCGACGAGGCGAAGCUGACAUGAGAGGUUGCUAGGUCACAUUGGGGAUGAGACCCGGACCAGAACGCUACGCGACGGAGCAGUAGGGAAUAUUGCACAAUGGGGGAUACCCUGACGACGCAGCGUGGCGUGAGUGAUGACGGCGUUCGGGUUGCAAAGCUCUGUCUUACGGGACGAUAAUGACGGUAACUGAGGAGGAAGCAACGGCUAACUACGUG
rnacentral:rRNA from 1 species